UACGGAAGGCAGCAGUGGGGAAUAUUGCACAAUGGGCGAAAGCCUGAUGCAGCUAUGCCGCGUGUAUGAAGAAGGCCUUAGGGUUGUAAAGUACUUUCAUCGGGGAGGAAAAAACAAAACUAAUAAUUUUAUUUCUUGACGUUACCCGAAAAAGAAGCACCGGCUAACUCCGUGCCAGCAGCCGCGGUAAUACGGAGGGUGCUAGCGUUAAUCAGAAUUACUGGGCGUAAAGAGCACGUAGGUGGUUUUUUUAAGUCAGAUGUGAAAUCCCUGGGCUUAACCUAGGAACUGCAUUUUGAAACUGAAAUACUAGAGUAUCGUAGAGGGAGGUAGAAUUCUAGGUGUAGCGGUGAAAUGCGUAGAUAUCUGGAGGAAUACCUGUGGCGAAAGCGGCCUCCUAAACGAAUACUGACACUGAGGUGCGAAAGCGUGGGAAGCAAACAGGGAUUAGAUACC
rnacentral:rRNA from 1 species